ACGCUCGACACCUACUGGAGGCAGCAGUGGGGAAUAUUGCACAAUGGGGGAAACCCUGAUGCAGCGACGCCGCGUGAGCGAAGAAGUAUUUCGGUAUGUAAAGCUCUAUCNGCAGGGAAGAAACUGACGGUACCUGACUAAGAAGCACCGGCUAAAUACGUGCCAGCAGCCGCGGUAAUCUGAGCGGGCUGGCAAGGC
rnacentral:rRNA from 1 species